rnacentral:rRNA from 1 species
GACGUAGGGCGCGAGCGUUGUCCGGAUUUAUUGGGCGUAAAGAGCGCGUAGGCGGCCCUGUAAGUCCGCUGUGAAAGUCAAGGGCUCAACCCUUGAAUGCCGGUGGAUACUGCAGGGCUAGAGUCCGGAAGAGGCGAGUGGAAUUCCUGGUGUAGCGGUGAAAUGCGUAGAUAUCGUAAGGAAGACCAGUGGCGAAGGCGGGUCUCUGGACAGUUCCUGACGCUGAGGCACGAAGGUCAGGGAGCAAACGGG